GACAGAGGGUGCAAACGUUGUUCGGAAUUACUGGGCGUAAAGCGCGUGUAGGCGGCUAAGUAAGUCGGGCGUGAAAUCCCACGGCUCAACCGUGGAAGUGCACUCGAAACUGCAUAGCUAGAGUCCUGGAGAGGAAGGUGGAAUGCUUGGUGUAGAGGUGAAAUUCGUAGAUAUUCGCAAGAACACCAGUGGCGAAGGCGGCCAACUGGUCCGGUACUGACGCUGAGGUGCGAAAGCGUGGGGAGCAAACAGG
rnacentral:rRNA from 1 species